AUGGAACCAGGCUGGAAACCCGGUGCUAGGUAUUUUUUGGCAACCAUUGCCUCUGAGCUGACAUGAAGAGGAGAGUCCAUGAGCACACAAAAAAAACCAGAGACUACUGAGAAGUGGGGGCCAGAAUUCAGACCAGAGUCUGUUGGGUUUAUACCCCACCUGCGGGAGAUGCAAGAGGAUCCAUAAGUGCCCUGGGCUUUGUUUCCAAAAAUGGACAAAGCUGAGCAAUAAAACACACAAUUAGAAUUCAGUGA